AUUGAACGCUGGCGGCAUGCCUUACACAUGCAAGUCGAACGGCAGCACGGGUGCUUGCACCUGGUGGCGAGUGGCGAACGGGUGAGUAAUACAUCGGAACGUACCUUAUCGUGGGGGAUAACGCAGCGAAAGCUGUGCUAAUACCGCAUACGCCCUGAGGGGGAAAGCGGGGGAUCGAAAGACCUCGCGCGAUUAGAGCGGCCGAUGCCUGAUUAGCUUGUUGGUGGGGUAAAAGCCCACCAAGGCGACGAUCAGUAUCUGGUCUGAGAGGACGAUCAGCCACACUGGGACUGAGACACGGCCCAGAAUCCUACGGGAGGCAGCAGUGGGGAAUUUUGGACAAUGGGGGCAACCCUGAUCCAGCAAUGCCGCGUGAGUGAAGAAGGCCUUCGGGUUGUAAAGCUCUUUUGUCAGGGAAGAAACACCGGCUCUAACACAGUCCGGGAAUGACGGUACCUGAAGAAUAAGCACCGGCUAACUACGUACCAGCCGCCGCCGUAA
rnacentral:rRNA from 1 species